rnacentral:rRNA from 1 species
CACGUACUGUGCGAACGUUAUUCGGAAUCACUGGGCUUAAAGGGUGCGUAGGCGGCCAUUCAAGUCAGGUGUGAAAUGCCUGAGCUCAACUGAGGCAUUGCGCUUGAAACUGACCUGCUUGAGUAUCCCAGGGGUGUGCGGAACUGCCAGUGGAGCGGUGAAAUGUGUUGAUAUUGGCAGGAACACCGGAGGCGAAAGCGGCACACUGGGGGAUAACUGACGCUGAGGCACGAAAGCCAGGGGAGCGAACGGG